UAUAUAUAUAUAUAUAUAUAUUUAUUUAAAACUUAAAAGGUUUGGCGGUUUUACAUAUCCAGUUAGGGGAGUUUGUUAAUUUAUUUGAUAAUCCUCAAUUUAAACUUACUUUUUUUUGAAUAAGUAAUUACGGUUUAUAUAUUGCUGUCGUCAGUUUAUUUUUUGAGAAUUAAAAGAACUAUAAAAUAUUAAGAUUAUUAUGUCAAGUCAUAAUGUAGCUAAUAAAAAAGGUUUAAUGAACUACUAUUAAUAAUAUUUUAAUUAAUCCGGAUAAUAAGAGUUAAAUUUAUUAGAAAGGGGACUUAAUAGUAAAAUA
rnacentral:rRNA from 1 species